UAAACAUGCACUUAGCCUCCAUGCUUCAUUGCAUGAUCACUGGCUCACUGCUGAUCACUAUUUGGAAGGUAUCAUAUCCAUAGGAUACCAUAAGGACUCUGUAUAGAUUUCUGCAUUUUUCACCUGUAUUGUGACUUCUGAGGUCCUCCAUGUGUGCAUGAAGUUGCCGAUUCCUCUUUUUUUCAUACGAAUGCUUCCCUUUUGAGCUCUUCGUAAUCUGAGUUACCAGAUUCACGAGGCUGACUUUAUGCCCUUAUUUCACGCCUCAUUGAUGUUUGGAAGCCCACGUAUGAACCUAUUCGGCCAAUGAUCUAGGCCUAUCACUCUUUUGGAUAGACAUUAUUAUCUAAGACGCACCCCUGAUGAAGUCUAGUUCCUAGACGAAACGCGUUGGAUUACUGUAUUUCUUGUUGAUGUCAUCUCCGAAUAUUUAAUGAGGAAGAAUAAGGAUACAACAGAAAGGUUGCCUUCUUUCCUCCAUAUCCCAUUGAUGGAUUUCUGUAGGAGAAACUACAUCAUAAUGUACAUGUAAUAAUGAUGGAUAUACUUCAUGU